GGGGAGAACGCGCGCGAGGCUUAAAAUCAUAUGACAUGACGGGCGAUUGCCCAGACGGGGUAGCAUGUCGUUUAAGUUGUAGCAACGCGCAGAACCUUACCAGUCGUCGACAUGUCCGAGAAAAUGCCAGAGAUGGUUCUCUUACCUUCGGGGACUGGACCACAGGUGCAGCAUGGUUGUCGUCAGCUCUUGUCGUGAGAUGGUGGAUUAAGUCCAGCGACGAGCGCAACCCUCGACCUUAGUUGCCAUCAUUCAGUUGGGCACUUUAAGGUAACCGCCGGUGAUAAGCCGGAGGAAGGUGGGGAUGACGUCAAGUCCUCAUGGCCCUUACGCGCUGGGCUACACACGUGCUACAAUGGCGGUGACAGUGGGCAGCAAACUCGCGAGAGUGAGCUAAUCUCCAAAAGCCGUCUCAGUUCGGAUUGUUCUCUGCGACUCGAGAGCAUGAAGGCGGAAUCGCUAGUAAUCGCGGAUCAGCAUGCCGCGGUGAAUACGUUCCCAGGCCUUGUACACACCGCCCGUCACACCAUGGGAGUUGGGUUCACCCGAAGGCGUUGCGCUAACUCGUAAGAGAGGCAGGCGAUGACGGUGGUAUAGGUGGUU
rnacentral:rRNA from 1 species